rnacentral:rRNA from 1 species
AGCGAACGCUGGCGGCAGGCUUAAUACAUGCAAGUCGAGCGGGCGUAGCAAUACGUCAGCGGCAGACGGGUGAGUAACACGUGGGAACGUGCCUUUUGGUUCGGAACAACCCAGGGAAACUUGGGCUAAUACCGGAUAAGCCCUUCGGGGAAAGGAUUUAUCGCCAAAGAUCGGCCCGCGUCUGAUUAGCUAGUUGGUGGGGUAAGUGGCCCACCAAGGCGACGAUCAGUAGCUGGUCUGAGAGGAUGAUCGGCCACAUUGGGACUGAGACACGGCCCAGACUCCUACGGGAGGCAGCAGUAAGGAAUAUUGCGCAAUGGAGGCAACUCUGACGCAGCAACGCCGCGUGUAGGAAGAAGGCCCUUUGGGUCGUAAACUACUGUAGCA